rnacentral:rRNA from 1 species
CCUACGUGUGGCAGCAGUGGGUAAUAUUGCACAAUGGGGGGAACCCUGAUGCAGCGACGCCGCGUGAGUGAAGGAGUAUUUCGGUAUGUAAAGCUCUAUCAGCAGGGAAGAAAAUGACGGUGCCUGACUAAGAAGCCCCGGCUACCUACGUGCCAGCAGCCGCGGUAAUACGUAGGGGGCAAGCGUUAUCCGGAUUUACUGGGUGUAAAGGGAGCGCAGACGGCUGUGCAAGUCUGGAGUGAAAGGCGGGGGGCCAACCCCCGGACUGCUCUGGAAACUGUAAAGCUGGAGUGCAGGAGAGGUAAGCGGAAUUCGUAGUGUAGCGGUGAAAUGCGUAGAUAUUAGGAGGAACACCAGUGGCGAAGGCGGCUUACUGGACUGCAACUGACGUUGAGGCUCGAAAGCGUGGGGAGCAAACAGGAUUAGAUACCCUGGUAGU